rnacentral:snRNA from 1 species
CUACUUACCUGAGAGGGGUGAUUCCAUGAUCAUGAAGGUCGUUGUCCCAGGGCCAGAUUGCACUCUAGAUGUGCUGACCAUCUGCAAUUUCCUCAAAUAUGAAGAAAACUCAAUUGCAUUACAUGUUUUAGGGAAAUAAAUUGCUUCAUACUUUCCA